UUGAACGCUGGCGGCAUGCUUUACACAUGCAAGUCGAACGGUAACGCGGGGGCAACCCUGGCGACGAGUGGCGAACGGGUGAGUAAUACAUCGGAACAUAUCCAGUAGCGGGGGAUAACCUAUCGAAAGAUGGACUAAUACCGCAUACGAUCUACGGAUGAAAGCAGGGGACCGCAAGGCCUUGCACUAUUGGAGUGGCCGAUGUCGGAUUAGCUAGUUGGUGAGGUAAAGGCUUACCAAGGCGACGAUCCGUAGCUGGUCUGAGAGGACGAUCAGCCACACUGGAACUGAGACACGGUCCAGACUCCUACGGGAGGCAGCAGUGGGGAAUUUUGGACAAUGGGCGCAAGCCUGAUCCAGCCAUGCCGCGUGAGUGAAGAAGGCCUUCGGGUUGUAAAGCUCUUUCGGUGAAGACGAAACGGUUAGUGUUAAUAACACUGACUAAUGACGGUACUCACAGAAGAAGCACCGGCUAACUACGU
rnacentral:rRNA from 1 species